CGCUGGCGGCGUGCCUAAUACAUGCAAGUCGAGCGCAGGAAAUCGACGGAACCCUUCGGGGGGAAGUCGACGGAAUGAGCGGCGGACGGGUGAGUAACACGUAAAGAACCUGCCCUCAGGUCUGGGAUAACCACGAGAAAUCGGGGCUAAUACCGGAUGGGUCAUCGGACCGCAUGGUCCGAGGAUGAAAGGCGCUUCGGCGUCGCCUGGGGAUGGCUUUGCGGUGCAUUAGCUAGUUGGUGGGGUAAUGGCCCACCAAGGCGACGAUGCAUAGCCGACCUGAGAGGGUGAUCGGCCACACUGGGACUGAGACACGGCCCAGACUCCUACGGGAGC
rnacentral:rRNA from 1 species